UCCUAAUCAAUCCUCCAUAAAUUAAAUUUUAUAGAAUAUUGAUUCAGAUUUAACACAACGUCUACCGCAAGACUUAUUAAAGUAUCACAAUGAAUGAAAAUCAAUAUUGACACUUCUGUCAAAACCAAUGUGUAUCCUGCUGUCAACACCCGUCACCGAGCAUAUUAUAACAUGUAAUACUACAAAAUACAGUCUUUCAAAAGAUUCUGAGGAAUCAAAAUAAAUGAUUCAUUUUAGCAAGAAAAGACAAUUACACACAAGACAGUAGGAUCAACUUGACAUCAGUGAAUUGGAGAAGGUCAAGUAGGACAUGUAACUCCAUCGACGGAUAUGCUGCUAUCAAAACAUGGUUUAAUAAGGAGAGGGGUAAGAGAAAGAGUGGGAACAAUUAAUAAUAAUUUAUUUAAUAUACACUACAGUUGUAUGUGCCAUCCACGAGGGCUUCAUUCAUCAUUGGCAAAGUCGGCUGGGUUUUUGCGGGACAGACGAUGGUGCUCC